UACGUAGGGGGCUAGCGUUGUCCGGAUUUAUUGGGCGUAAAGAGCGUGUAGGCGGCCAGGUAGGUCUGCUGUGAAAACUCGAGGCUCAACCUCGAGACGUCGGCGGAAACCAUCUGGCUAGAGUCCGGAAGAGGAGAGUGGAAUUCCUGGUGUAGCGGUGAAAUGCGCAGAUAUCAGGAGGAACACCGGUGGCGAAGGCGGGUCUCUGGGCCGAUGACUGACGCUGGAGGAGCGAAAGCGUGGGGAGCGAACAGG
rnacentral:rRNA from 1 species